GAAUAUAUAGCUCAAGUGGUAGAGCCCAUGCUUGGCAUGCAUAGGGUCCUGGGUUCAAUCCCCAGUGCCUCCU
rnacentral:tRNA from 1 species